rnacentral:rRNA from 1 species
CCUACGGGAGGCAGCCGUGAGGAAUAUUGGUCAAUGGCCGAGAGUCUGAACCAGCCAAGUAGCGUGAAGGAUGACUGCCCUAUGGGUUGUAAACUUCUUUUAUGUGGGAAUAAAAUGUUCCACGUGUGGGAUUUUGUAUGUACCAUAUGAAUAAGGAUCGGCUAACUCCGUGCCAGCAGCCGCGGUAAUACGGAGGAUCCGAGCGUUAUCCGGAUUUAUUGGGUUUAAAGGGAGCGUAGGUGGAUUGUUAAGUGAGUUGUGAAAGUUUGCGGCUCAACCGUAAAAUUGCAGUUGAAACUGGCAGGCUUGAGUACAGUAGAGGUGGGCGGAAUUCGUGGUGUAGCGGUGAAAUGCUUAGAUAUCACGAAGAACUCCGAUUGCGAAGGCAGCUCACUGGACUGCAACUGACACUGAGGCUCGAAAGUGUGGGUAUCAAACAGGAUUAGAUACCCUGGUAGUC